AGACCCGAAACCCGGUGAUCUAGCCAUGGGCAGGUUGAAGGUUGGGUAACACUAACUGGAGGACCGAACCGACUAAUGUUGAAAAAUUAGCGGAUGACCUGUGGCUGGGGGUGAAAGGCCAAUCAAACCGGGAGAUAGCUGGUUCUCCCCGAAAGCUAUUUAGGUAGCGCCUCGUGAAUUCAUCUCCGGGGGUAGAGCACUGUUUCGGCUAGGGGGCCAUCCCGGCUUACCAACCCGAUGCAAACUGCGAAUACCGGAGAAUGUUAUCACGGGAGACACACGGCGGGUGCUAACGUCCGUCGUGAAGAGGGAAACAACCCAGACCGCCAGCUAAGGUCCCAAAGUCAUGGUUAAGUGGGAAACGAUGUGGGAAGGCCCAGACAGCCAGGAUGUUGGCUUAGAAGCAGCCAUCAUUUAAAGAAAGCGUAAUAGCUCACUGGUCGAGUCGGCCUGCGCGGAAGAUGUAACGGGGCUAAACCAUGCACCGAAGCUGCGGCAGCGACGCUUAUGCGUUGUUGGGUAGGGGAGCGUUCUGUAAGCCUGUGAAGGUGGCCUGUGAGGGUUGCUGGAGGUAUCAGAAGUGCGAAUGCUGACAUAAGUAACGAUAAAGCGGGUGAAAAGCCCGCUCGCCGGAAGACCAAGGGUUCCUGUCCAACGUUAAUCGGGGCAGGGUGAGUCGACCCCUAAGGCGAGGCCGAAAGGCGUAGUCGAUGGGAAACGGGUUAAUAUUCCCGUACUUGGUGUUACUGCGAAGGGGGGACGGAGAAGGCUAUGUUGGCCGGGCGACGGUUGUCCCGGUUUAAGCGUGUAGGCUGGUUUUCCAGGCAAAUCCGGAAAAUCAAGGCUGAGGCGUGACGACGAGGCACUACGGUGCUGAAGCAACAAAUGCCCUGCUUCCAGGAAAAGCCUCUAAGCAUCAGGUAACAUCAAAUCGUACCCCAAACCGACACAGGUGGUCAGGUAGAGAAUACCAAGGCGCUUGAGAGAACUCGGGUGAAGGAACUAGGCAAAAUGGUGCCGUAACUUCGGGAGAAGGCACGCUGACACGUAGGUGAAGUGAUUUACUCAUGGAGCUGAAGUCAGUCGAAGAUACCAGCUGGCUGCAACUGUUUAUUAAAAACACAGCACUGUGCAAACACGAAAGUGGACGUAUACGGUGUGACGCCUGCCCGGUGCCGGAAGGUUAAUUGAUGGGGUCAGCGCAAGCGAAGCUCCUGAUCGAAGCCCCGGUAAACGGCGGCCGUAACUAUAACGGUCCUAAGGUAGCGAAAUUCCUUGUCGGGUAAGUUCCGACCUGCACGAAUGGCGUAAUGAUGGCCAGGCUGUCUCCACCCGAGACUCAGUGAAAUUGAACUCGCUGUGAAGAUGCAGUGUACCCGCGGCAAGACGGAAAGACCCCGUGAACCUUUACUAUAGCUUGACACUGAACAUUGAGCCUUGAUGUGUAGGAUAGGUGGGAGGCUUUGAAGUGUGGACGCCAGUCUGCAUGGAGCCGACCUUGAAAUACCACCCUUUAAUGUUUGAUGUUCUAACGUGGACCCGUUACCCGGGUUGCGGACAGUGUCUGGUGGGUAGUUUGACUGGGGCGGUCUCCUCCUAAAGAGUAACGGAGGAGCACGAAGGUUGGCUAAUCCUGGUCGGACAUCAGGAGGUUAGUGCAAUGGCAUAAGCCAGCUUGACUGCGAGCGUGACGGCGCGAGCAGGUGCGAAAGCAGGUCAUAGUGAUCCGGUGGUUCUGAAUGGAAGGGCCAUCGCUCAACGGAUAAAAGGUACUCCGGGGAUAACAGGCUGAUACCGCCCAAGAGUUCAUAUCGACGGCGGUGUUUGGCACCUCGAUGUCGGCUCAUCACAUCCUGGGGCUGAAGUAGGUCCCAAGGGUAUGGCUGUUCGCCAUUUAAAGUGGUACGCGAGCUGGGUUUAGAACGUCGUGAGACAGUUCGGUCCCUAUCUGCCGUGGGCGCUGGAGAACUGAGGGGGGCUGCUCCUAGUACGAGAGGACCGGAGUGGACGCAUCACUGGUGUUCGGGUUGUCAUGCCAAUGGCACUGCCCGGUAGCUAAAUGCGGAAGAGAUAAGUGCUGAAAGCAUCUAAGCACGAAACUUGCCCCGA
rnacentral:rRNA from 1 species